rnacentral:rRNA from 1 species
CCUACGGGUGGCAGCAGUGAGGAAUAUUGGUCAAUGGGCGAGAGCCUGAACCAGCCAAGUCGCGUGAAGGAUGACGGCCCUACGGGUUGUAAACUUCUUUUGUCAGGGAGCAAUUGGGUCCACGCGUGGGCUUAGCGAGAGUACCUGAAGAAAAAGCAUCGGCUAACUCCGUCCCAGCAGCCGCGGUAAUACGGAGGUUGCGAGCGUUAUCCGGAUUUAUUGGGUUUAAAGGGUGAGUAGGCGGAAUAUCAAGUCAGAGGUAAAAAUUCGGGGCUCAACCCCGUCGUGCCGUUGAAACUGAUGUUCUUGAGUGGGCGAGAGGGAGGCGGAAGGCGUGGUGUAGCGGUGAAAUGCAUAGAUAUAACGAAGAACUCCGAUUGCGAAGGCAGCAUACCGGCGCCCAACUGACGCUGAGGCACGAAAGCGUGGGUAUCGAACAGGAUUAGAUACCCUUGUAGUC